CCCUUAGUUGUCCUGGGCCGCACGCGCGUUACACUGAUGCAUUCAACGAGCUUAUAACCUUGGCCGAGAGGCCUGGGCAAUCUUGUUAACGUGCAUCGUGAUAGGGAUAGAUUAUUGAAAUUAUUAAUCUUGAACGAGGAAUUCCUAGUAAACGCAGAUCAUCAAUCUGCAUUGAUUACGUCCCUGCCCUUUGUACACACCGCCCGUCGCACCUACCGAUUGGAUGGUCCGGUGAAGCCUCGGGAUUGUGGUUCUUGCCGCUUUAUUGUGGCGUGACCGCGAGAACUUGUCUAAACCUUAUCAUCUAGAGGAAGGUGAAGUCGUAACA
rnacentral:rRNA from 1 species